GGGGAAUCCCGCUCUGAACGGGAGCCUGCAGGAACAGAGGGCUUCAGCUCUAAAGAGGAGCAGAGUGCCUAAAGGCCCAGCCUCAUUGUGCUGAGGACUCUGCAGACACAAAAUGAAGGCACAGCCCCUGCCUUGAAGUGCAGCUCAGAGCAUCCUCAGGCAGCUUCUGCACUGCACUGGUGGAACCUCCUCUUUAGUGGCACCAGGAAGAAGCAGCAGGAAAUAGAGAAUGAAGUUCUUCCAUUGUCCUCUGUCUCUGGAGAAUCCCUACAUCCUCAGGGACUGCAGGCUGCAGUACCAGGAGGACCUUGAUCAGGAGGUGUUCCAAGGAUUCUGCCUUUCCAAGACCUUGCUCAUACAGUGUGCUGCCUGUUCUGCCAAAAGAAAAAAAAAAAAAAAAAAAAAAAAAAAAAAAAAAAAAAAAAAAAAAAAAAACCCACAACAAAAAAGACCCCAACAAAACAACAACAAAAAACCCACAAAAACCCAAAAAGUUGAAGGUUUUGAUGUUCCUGAAAUUCUUGAAGAGGCUGCGAAAAAGGAGCUCCUGUUCUGAAUUGAGAUGAAAAGCCAAAGCCUUGAAAACUUUAGAAAGGUUAGAAUUUAAAGGAAGAAAAAAAUCAAGUGCAUACUUGUGCAAGGAACAGAGUUGGCUUUGCAUGCUUGGGAUGGCUCCUUCAUCAGGCCUGGCUCCAAUAACAUUUCAGCUUCAUUUUCCUCUUUUAACGUCAAAAUGAAAUUAUUUUGGCAGUAGCAGUUGAACAUUUCUGUUUCAAAACACUAAAUUGGGCUAUUUUGAAAAAUUUUUAUGAUACUAUUUUCAAAUUAAAAUAUUAUCUGGAACCAGCUACUUCAGAGUGAAUAACUUCACACUGGAGCAGCUAGGAAAUUCUAAUGAAAAAAUGGUGAAAUGUUCCCAACCAGCUCUAUCCAUCACUUCCUUUCACUACUACCCAAUAAAAAUAGCUCCCACAUACCGCUGCAGUCAGGAGUGCCAUGUUACAGAAGAAGAAAUAACUAAGCCAACAAAAUGACUCACAUUCCAAAGAUAAUAUACAAGGUAGGGCCUGGCCAACUGGUUCAAUUCAAAUUAGAACCAGCCUCAGCCCUCCUGUGCGAGACAAACUGAUCACAAAAUAUGAUCUGUUGUUGUUGUUUGAUGUCUGCUUGUUGUAUUUUCACACACUUCUCUUCAUGAUCCCACUUCAGUGGAAGUGGACGUGCCUGUAAUGCUGCAGAGACUGCAAUUUCUCCUCAUUUUCAGCCUAACAAAAAGCUGCAAGCAGUAGGGCUGUGGCAAGGGGAUUUGUUCCUGGAAAGAGGGAUUUUAGUUCUGUUCCAGCUUGCAGUUUGGUUAAAGUAGAUCUAGAGCCUUGCACAACUGAAGUUUUGCUCUGCUGGAUUUCUGGUUUUGAAGUGACAGAGGUGGAAGCUCACAGAAACCAGGCAGUAUAAUUCUGUGAGAAGUGUCAGGUAUGAGCAUAAAGAGCUGGAGCACUGUGUUCCCACAUGCCCUUAGAGCCUGAAAUAUCCCUCUUAAUUUUAAACAUAUAAAUCAAAGGCAUAAAACUUUUAAUUUUAUUGUUGUUGUGAGGUACUGAACUAAUACCCUGAAGUUUUUAGCUCGUUAAUUCUGUCGAUCUUCACAAAAGCACUCGUUCCAGCAGAGUGAGUCCUUCAUGUAAGUACAACUUCUCAGCCAGGUUGGUAGUGCUUUUCAGAGCAGCUCAUGGUUUAGGUUGAAUGCAUUUUAAAGCAAUCUAUAAAUCUUUAUGAUCUUUGUUUUUCUUUCUCUUGCAUGCAUACUUGGCAAGCAUUUCCAGUUUGCAUCAUUGAAAAUUUGAUUCACCUAUGUACAAUGGGUGAGAUUUGUCCGUGUUUGAAAAGGCAACAUCAAGCCCUUUGCACCUUUUAAAUCUUCAAAAUAGGACUGAAGCAGGACAUUAUGGUUUGCCAGACCGUUGCACUGCCUUCCCCUGAAGCUGGACUGAGUUUCAGCCAGGCAGAAUGAAGGGGGUGAGGGUGGAGAAUGAAUUACUGUGACCUUGCAAUGGGCUGUGAAAGAAAAAAGUGUUUUGGGGCUGCAGUGCUGAUUAUUACUUUCUUUCCUCCAUGGCUUUGGUGCUUUAGAUUCUGCUUGGACAAUUUCAUCCCAUUUGGGGCAGCCUGUUACCAAAAACUGGAAGCUCAGGAGAAAGUAAAUUAAUGUUAAAGGUCCACAGAGCCCAGCUUCUGGGGAAGAGUUUUGUGUUCAGGAGAUUUAGUUUAGAUGAGCAGUGUGGACAGAGUAAGAGGCUGCAAGAACAGCUGAGAAUGGUUAAUAGAUGUGGAAAAGGGAGGUAUUUCUGGGCUGGAGGGGGCUCUGUACUAGUGGGAGUUUUCAAAGGGAGGCUGAACAAAAUCCUUGGUGGUGUGGAAGGCAGGCCCCAGUCAAACCUGGACUUGGACACUUCCAGGAAUGGGACAGCCACAGCUUCUCAGGGAACCUGUGCCAGGGCCUCCCCACCAUCACAAGAAAUUAUUUUUCCCAUAUAUCUAACCUAAAUUUCCCCUUUUUUUCUGUUUGAAGCCAUUCCCCCUUGUCCUGAGGACUGUUGUGCUUCAGAGAGUGUUGGAUUUGCCCAAAAUCCCGAGGCGCUCCUGUUGUGUGUGUGAGGAAUGACAGGGACAGUGCAGAUGGGGCAGCCUGAAACUGGGCUGGACCCUUUCCCUUUUCCUUGGAUCUGAGUAAAUAAAUCCAGCCAGGGCAGGGGCACGGGGCAUUUCACAGCAGAGUUGUUAAAAAGUCUUUUGUGCCAUGUACCUUUGACUCCCCUGGCUUUGAACCAAGCCUGGAGUUGCCAGUGUUUAUGGUGCUCGGUGGUGUUUAAUGCUUGGCUGUUAUUAAAUAUUUGUUGUGUGUUAACUUAGUGGUUUCUGGGGACACUUGGAGGAGUUAAGGAAACAAGCUGGAAAUGAAAGUGGGUGAUGGGAGUGCUGCAAGGUUUGUUAUAGCUGGGUCCCUCUUCCCAGCUCUGUGGGACUCUCCAUGUCCUGGGGAAGUCCCUCAAGGAUCAGGAUGCUUUGCAAAUGCAUAUCCCUGAAGUAUCCAGUAGUAUUUUCCUUUGCCCAAGUACAGGGGGACUUCUUAACACUGUUGUCAAACAUCCCUGGUAAAUGUUGUGAUUAUUGGACUGAUCUUCACCAGGAAAUAAAUAAAUAAAAGCCAUAAGAACAGAAAAUGCACCCUCCCAAGAUAGCGUUUAUAUAGCUAGAAAAGUGAGGUGGUUUCCUGUUCUAA